GAGAGAGAUUUGUAAUAACAAAGACUGCUAAUCUUUGCCCCCUUGGUUAAAUUCCAAGGCUCACUCGAACG
rnacentral:tRNA from 1 species